rnacentral:rRNA from 1 species
AAUCAACGCUGGCGGCGUGCCUCAGACAUGCAAGUCGAACGAUUAAGACUUCCUUCGGGAAGUGUAUAAAGUGGCGCACGGGUGAGUAACACGUAAGUAAUCUACCUUCGAGUGGGGAAUAACAUCGGGAAACCGAUGCUAAUACCGCAUAAUGCAGCGGCAUCGCAAGAUGACAGUUGUUAAAGGAGCAAUUCGCUUGAAGAGGAGCUUGCGGCAGAUUAGCUAGUUGGUAAGGUAAUGGCUUACCAAGGCUACGAUCUGUAUCCGGUCUAAGAGGACGGUCGGACACACUGACACUGAAUAACGGGUCAGACUCCUACGGGAGGCAGCAGUCGGGAAUUUUGGGCAAUGGGCGAAAGCCUGACCCAGCAACGCCGCGUGAGGGAUGAAGUAUUUCGGUAUGUAAACCUCGAAAGAAUGGGAAGAAUAAAGGACGGUACCAUUUAUAAGCUCCGGCUAACUACGUGCCAGCCGCCGCCGUAAGAC